UUAAACUGGAUAUUCCGCGUUUAGCAGGAUGCGUUGUGCUCUUCUAUUGCUGCUGCACAUGCGCUGCCCUCUGAUUGGCUGCCGUGGUGGUUUGACCAACCAAUGGGCGUUCGAUUCUCAGUAAGCGAUCAAAUUCUGGUGGCUGGACGUGGUCAAACAGCCGGUUUAGGCUCGGUUCACGCGGAUGCCAGCUCGUCAAUUUAAUGUUUAAUUGUGUCGCUGUACUACUUUUUAUCUGGCACUCUACUGCAUUCAGGGUCGGAUGACGAAACGCGACGAUAAUGUGCUUUUUGCGCUCUUUAACGUUUUGUCGUUACGUCAGACCGUGACAUCAAGCUAGCUUGAAUCGACUACGAGCAUUUCAAAGUAAAAGCAUGCAAGUUGUCACAGAAACCGCUUAAGGUAAGUAUCGGCUUUAAAUUCAAGACGGUCCUACCUUUGGCAGUAGUAAAUUAAUAGCGCUGUAUUUAUCAUUAGUCAUUUAUUGCCUAUUAAGAAAAUCCUUUUACUCUAAUAUGUUAGUAAUCUGUUUUAUUUCUAAAGUCAGCCGGACAUUCGAUUGUUUGCGAAAUAACUUGACAGACGUUGCAAAAUCUCUACUCGGUUACACGGUGUUCUUUUUGCGCUGCAAUUUGAGAAAGAGAACAAUGAAAGUGAUCACGUUUAACAACAAUUGCGACACGGCGCAGCUGUUUUGCCAGAGCCUUGAUAUGCGCACUACAAUGAACGAGAAACCGGGGAACGGCUGGUAAUUGGAAUAACCUGUUUCACAUUUAAAGGCUCCAGUAUGUCGAAGGAACAACCUUGCUCGUGUGAGCAGAGUCCCGGUGCUACAUCUGUGAAAAGUGCAAAAGAGAAGGACCCGUGUGCGGCUCUCCUGGCAAAAGAUGACAGCAAAGCGGAUGCAGAUGAUUCCAGCGCACGGGGCUCAAACUGCAGCUCAGAAAAGGACUCUGGCUACUCUGAUGGCUCAGACUGGCAGCAGACCGACGUGGAGGAUCAGCGGACAAACCGGAGCCAGUCCAGAGGCGGUGAGCGUGCAGAACCUUCACAGUCCAGCCAGAACCAAAGACCCGGGCUUGGGAGUGCCGGGAAUCCCAGCUUCAUGUCAGCAGGCCAUGAGCUCUCGCCCAUCUACAUUAUCAAGAACAUGGCGGACGUGAUCCAAAAAAGAGGUCAGCUGAUCUGGACUAAUGCGAGCAGGGACACCAGCAGUUCCAGUGCUCCCCAUAUGAUCCUUCUGCCGCAGCCUAGCUUGUUGCCAUCCACUGUUCAACUCCACAAGCCCUUGUCCUUUAAUGCUGCCUCAGGGAGGAAAAUAAAAGGCCCUCGCCCACCUGUUCGUAACGCCUACCCUCGCAUAGCACCGCACCCCAGCAAGAAGCCACCUGAAGCCAGUCUGAGUAAGAGGGUCAGUGGCAAGCUUAGUGAUCCACCCGAGCCCCGGAGUUCAGCUGAUCAGCACCUCUUCAAGCAGCCUUCGGUCUCCGUCUCAGCCUCUGUGCAGCCGUGUUCCUCUUCACCCAAAGACACUCGCUCUCCCUCCAGUUCCACGACUUCCUCCUCGCGCCAAACGUCUCAGUCGGCGUCCAGCCCCCACGGGGCCUCCUCGAUCCUCGCCACCAGGCGGCUUCACAAAAGCGCCACCACUAGCACCCGCCACCGCCGCUUCCUCAACACGGUGGAAAUCCUCCGGCAGUCGGGUUUGUUGGACAUCACGCUGCACACGAAGAAACUCCUGCGCCAGAGCAACGCCACGGAACGCGACAUCGCCCAGCUGCGUCAGCACACGGGGCUGCUGUGCCAGGCUGCCGGCAGCCACAGCCCAGGUGGCAUCACGCGGUGGGAGCAGCUGUAUCGCACCAUGGCAGAGUCCGGUAAUUACCCCGAUUUAGACAUCAACACUCAUCCAGACUCUGCCACACAACCAGAAACUAUCUCCAUGGCUAAAACCAACAGGUCAGGUGCUGGGAGCUCAGACGCAGCAUCUGCUCACCUUUCUACCAGCAUAGCACAGCCAAACCAGAACUGUCCCGUACCACAGCAACCACGCCAAAGGCAAGGCAGGGAGUUUGACGCCAGCAAUAAAUUCUCAGAAAAAGUCACUUUUAUGCCUCCUGACAGCUCUACUGAUUAGCACAGCCUGCAGUGCCUUUACAGAGACAACAAUUACUCAGGGGCAGCCAGCACCGAUCUUCAAGCCUGUGGUUUUAGUGGCUGAAGAUCUUCAUAGUUUAUUCCUGGUUCCUUAAAGCCUAUUUUAUUAUUUUAGUUUCUUAGGGCUCAUACACAAAAUCUCUGCUAGAUUAUAGAAAUCAAAUGACUGCUUGAGAUUUGAGUUACCACAUCUGGUUUGACUUGUCAGAGCCGAUGGAUAAUAAAUGCACUGUGCAAUUUAAUCCCA
ensembl:lncRNA CLOCK-interacting pacemaker-like